CGUGGGAGCGCGGUUACACGUGACGGGCGCGCGCAGACAGUUGCUCGCGCAAGUGCUUCCCCUCGCUCUUGUCUCUGCCAGCGCUGCAAUUGCCGCAGUGCUGUCAUGGCUGAUUCCGAUCCUCGGGAGCGGCGGACCCUGGUUGUUAAUGGCUGAGAAGAACGCCAGUCCUCUACCCCCCCUCGGCUUUUUUGGGGGGAGUGUAAAAAGGAGAAGGAAGAAAGAUCUUUUACUGGUGCUACAGCCGAGGUCCUAACACUUAAAGAAAUGGAGCAGUUGAAAUGCAAAUACCCAUAAAACAACGGGAAUCUAAUCUAAACUGGAUGUUUUCUAAGGAAAUGUGACAAGCUAGUGGGUUCAAUCAGCAGAAUUACUCAUUCAAAUCUAUUUUGGAGAUGUUGACCAUUGGCCAUAUUCUAGGCUAUCUCCACUCAAGCUCAAGAAGAACUAGCAGUUCCUGGAAUAAUUUGGAACAAGCAGAAACACUUGAUUUUGGAAUGGGUGAGAUCAACACAGCUCUGGGGGGAGGGGUUCUCUAAUCUGUCCCAAUCUGCAAAUGAGCAUUUAUGUAUAUUUCCAGGUUGUUUCUGGAACUGUUCGUGUUAACAGAGUCAUAGCAACAUUAUAGGAUACCCUCCCACACACCCUACUGUGCUCUAUUUGAAUGACUGAAUUGAGAAUACCAAAGCCAGGCUACCACCACAGAGAAGGAAGACCCCAUCUCUUGUUACCACCUGCCCCUCACCCAGUGGCAAUUCCAGCUUUUGAGGUUCUCUUCUCACCAUGGACUCAACCUUUUCAAAACAUAAACAAUUUACUGGCCCUCUUUUUGUAGCCAUGUGCCCUACUUUAACCUAGGGCAGUCCUCUAUCUGAAAGGUUGUCAGAGGAGAAUCCUAUAUUUAAAAGCAUCAUUGGAACGGCUGUCCAAGUUCAGUUUAAAGUUGGAGAAUCAAAAGGAAGCAGGGCAGGGGGCUUUGAAGUUGCUCAUCAGUAUUUACUACCUGGGCAGCAGGUUAAACAGGCACACAGGUCACUUUCCAUGAAAGUGUGAUGUAUUAUAGUCAUUAUUUCUAAAUUUGCAUGGGUACAUAUUAGCUGAUGGCAGUUCUAUGGUAACCACUAUCCUUUUUGCCCCCUCUUUUGGUGAUAUGUAAGUGUUCAUUUAUUCUCCUUUCAUAUUAGUUUCUGCCAUUUCAGUUCUGUCCCAGUCAUUUUGUCCCAAUCAAGUCCUUACGUUGAACUAAGCCUUAGUUCAUCUUUUACUUAUGCUUAGUAAUUGGUAUGUUUCUAAUACAUACAGGAACACAGGUUCUUGUGCUGAUCCCUGGCUCUUAGAAUUAUGAAUUGGCUAUGAUUCCACAUGUUGGACUUCACAUCCAGAAGAUUUUGAACCAAGUUUGGGAAUGGUUUCAUUUCCCUUAGACUGUCUGAGAUGGCUUAGGAGGCUUCUAUAACUGCAGAACAUUCAAACUGUUAGGCUGCUAGGAAGACUGAAUGGCUGCUUAAUUGCCACUAGUUUGUUAUAAUGUAUUCUAUUGAAAUGAAACAUUUCAUUCACAUUUGUGCUGAGUAGGACGUUUAACUUAACAAUCAUCUUGUUGAUGAUUGCCUAAUCAGUGCCAUUAUAAUUUGCUUAGUUAGCUAAUUCUGAUUUAGAUUUGAAACACCACUAGGUCUAUUAUGACUGAUUCCCAGGUUCAUUAUCUUAUGUUAAGGAUUCAUAAGCAAAAUAAAUAUAAAACAGGGAAAAUCGGCAAGAGAUUCCUAUAUUGUUGCUUUUAGGUAUUUCCAGAUGAUUAAAAAUAGAACUACCAUGCUGCAAUAGCAUGAUCCUUAUUCCAACACUUCUACUCAGUAUUCUGACCUCAUGCCAUGGAUGGGAGUAGACUUGCUGCUGGAGGAGAAGGCAGACGAGUGUUGUUGCUUUGGUGCUUUGGCCUCCUCCUUCUAAAAGGGCAGGAUGAGUGCUCCAGGAUUCCUGUACCCCUGCUUUCACGAAUUAUAACAUCCAGUAAAAACUGAGCAUAUUUAGUGCACAUGGCAUGCUUGACUUAUUGUUGAGAAAGGAAAAAUAGGACAAUGUGAGGAUAGACUAAUUAUUCUGAAAUUAAAUAUACUUGGUUGAUUGGAACAGCAGUCCUCUGCCUUGCAGUGCUGUGUUCUAAGCUCCAGUUGUGAUCCCCUAAAAUAGAACUCUUUGUCCCAGGACUGAGAUAUACAGACUUGUUUUUAAUGGAAAUCCCACAGAGCAUCAAGUUGUUAUUUCCUUUAACUGAUCUAUGCUAAAUCCAGUAGAAGAAAGGUAAACCCAGAAUAACUAGUUUGUCUCCAAAGUUGUUGCACAAGCAGAACUGCCCAGAGAACCUCAGCUAUUGAGUGUUAUAAAAAUGAAAUAAAUAAAUAAACACAAUAUUGGUCAUGCAAGGGAAAAGAUCUUCAAUUUUUGUACAUUCCCCCUGGUUUGAUAUAUAUUCUUUGAUACGUGUAUAUAUUUUUGACUGUAUCUAUAUAUUUCAGAGACCUGUGUCUUGUAAGUGCUUCUUUCACUCUAUAAGAAUUUCUGCUUAUCUGGAGAAAGCCAUAAUAUAAAAGAACACAUUUUAAUUUACAUAUUAAAGAAGCAAUCUUCUAUAUGAAAGUAGUAAUCUACUACCUGUACUGUUGUGAGAACGUUAUAAAAGCAAACAGCUUUUCAGAAAACAAAUUAAUUUUUGCAACAGAAUUAUUUGUAGAUCUUUUAGUAUUCUAGCUUAAACCCAGAAGAUGAAAUAUGGCAGAGGUGGGGGAAGCCCCUAUGCUGUUCGUCAGUCAUAACCAAAGGAGGAAGUCAUUGAUUCCAGUUUCUUCACGCUCCUGAAUUGAUGUAUGACCCCAAGCAAGUGAAUCCAACCUUCUGUUUAGCUUACAUCUUUAAAACAAAGACACUGUUCUUCCCAGGGGUAUUGUUAGGGCUGAAGCAGAUAAUAUUUUGAAACAAGUAAGAGUUUUAAAAUUUAAUAUUUAGAAUGUGUCAAUUGCCAAAGAAAAUAUAAGAAGAAAACAUGCUAGCAUGUAAUCCAAACUGAGAGGAAAUAAAUAUAAUCAAAGAAUUUAUUAGGCACAUCUGCUAAACUGCUCAUAGCUAGGCAACCUGUAGCUUAAUUGCUCCUUGUACAGCACUGGAUUUAUGGAUAGUCUUCUGGCCCCAGUAUUGAAAGUAGGAACCCCUGCCUCGGGCACAGAGUUGUACAAGGAACAGAGGUAGCAUAAUUCAGCUGUGUCAAAUUAAUGGUUCUAUCAUGGGACAAAAUAGCAUAAUGAGGGAAGACUAAGGGCAUUAAGGAGAAGUAGACCUUCAGCAGGACAUCCCCUCAGCCUUCAUCUUACAUGCACAGAGAAAUAAUUUCUCUCUCCUCCACCCCACCCCCACCGCAUUCUCAGUGCAAACAGUAGAUAGCUUGGGUAAGAUAUAUGACCUGACGGAACUCUGCAAUGCUUUUGUAAUGUUUCAUUCCUUUCAUAGUUGAAUUGAUUGAUCAAUGGAUGAUCUAAAACAUGAUCUGAUGGCCCUCUGGUCCGUUCCAACUGUGAUUCUAUGGCACACUAGAAACUGAAUAUUUGAGGGAAUUAUGUGUUUUCUUAUUUAUUUGUUAUUAACUUUCUUCCUGGCUUUCAUCCUUUUUCAGGUGGUUUACACUGUCCUUCUUUCCAUUUUAUCCUCAUGAGAACCUGUGAGUUAGGUUGAUUGAGGGUCACUGACCGGCCCAGAGUCAUCCAGUGAGUUUCAUGGCUGAGUGGGGACUAGCAUGAGGAUCUCCCAUUCUAGUCGCAGUGGCUGUUUGGCAGAAAUGAAAAAGAAGUUGGUUUCACACAGGAUAGCUGGGAACCAUCUAAAGAAAGGACUAGAAGGUGGUUCAGGAAUAUAAAUCUGGCCCAUGCAUUUUAACUUAGUAGUAACUGAUAGAUAAUUAUUCCAAUGGAGAUGCACACAGGGCUGCAGUAUAUAUGUAGCAGGAAGAAUCAUUUUACAUUUUGACCCAAAAUACUUUUUGGAAGCAGGUUCUAUAUCCUUUCCCAACCUUAGUGUCUACAACUAAAAACAUACCUGACCCUUGGGUUUCUAAAUGAAGCUAAGUGAUGAACAACUAAAGUAGCGCUAGUUUGGAAUUGCAUUUUGAGCAUUUGUUUUCAUAGACACAUAGUUAUACUGGUGUGUUUUGUUCCUAAUGCCAUGAGGGGCGAUCAAUGAAGUUACCUGAACAGGGAGAUAGAGAUAAUUAAUUGGCUGGGAAAAGUGGUGCAACUCAUUUGCCGAGUUAACUUUAUGGAACAACAUGUAAACAUAAUGUAAUCUUUGCAUUUUCAUGCAAGACUGCAUUAAAUGGUUGAGAAUGAGAGACUCUAGCUCUGCUUAAAUGACAACCACCCUUGUUUAUACAGGGUGGUGCAGGGAAAUGGGAAAUUUUGGAACUAGGAGUUUGCGACCCUGGGGCACUGGCAAUUGUUUGGUACCAGUGUGGCCUCAUUUAGAACCGCUCUCGUAGUUAUAAUGGAGCAGUGGAGUGGUGCAUAACAAGUGUUCACUGUAAAAGCCUUUUAUAAGAAUGGUGAUAGUGUGAAUGCUGUGUAAAGUGAAUUUUGGUGUCAUUACCAGUUAGGACAUCAUGAUCAUGUCCCAGCUGUCAUGUGAUUACAACAUGGGUGCAUAAUUUUGAAGAAACAGUUUCAGCCUUAAAAAAGAAGUCCCCAGGUGGUAUUUGAAUGACAUGCACACCAGAGAAUAUUGAGGCUGUUUGAGCUGCCAUCGUGAGGAGCCUUCACCGCUUCGUUUGACAGCACGCAUCAUCCCUAUAUUUGGGGUGACAAAGCACGCAAAGAAUACUGCACGAAUGGAAGUUCCAUCCCUACAAAUUGCAGAUUGUGCAGGAACUCAAACCCAAUGACCAACAGUCAACAGUUUUGUGAACAAUUGCUGGCAAUCCUCUUGACAUAUUAUGUCAAGCAAUACAGAAUUUCCACAACAGGCUGUCAGAAUGUGUAUGGAGAAAUGAACGACACCUUCAUGAUGUUAUCUUCAAGAUGUAAUAUGAAUAUUGAAUGAAUAUUGAUUACCAUCAUCAACUGCAUAUCCUGUACAAUACAUUUCAUCAUGUAUUUUGUAAUGUGUUUAUUCAUGUAUUCAAUGUCAAUUGAAAAUUUCCCAUUUCCCUGCACACCCUGUAGCGGUCAGAUUCCCUUGGACCUUGUGACUUCUAAUUACUGCCAGAAAUCCUGUAAAAAUGUAGGCCAAAUAAGACCCACAGUUUACAUUUUGUCUACCAAUACUUUGGCUUUGGUCUCUGAUGAAUCAUAAAGAUUACAAUUUAA